rnacentral:rRNA from 1 species
CCCUUAGAUGUUCUGGGCCGCACGCGUGCUACACUGAGUGGGUCAGCGGGUCAGGUUGCGCGAAAGUGUUUCCUAAUCUUGAAAUCCGCUCGUGAUGGGGAUUGACGGUUGCAAUUUUCCGUCAUGAACGAGGAAUACCUUGUAAGCGCGGGUCAUCAUCCCGCGCUGAAUACGUCCCUGCCCUUUGUACACACCGCCCGUCGCUCCUACCGAUUGAGUGGUCCGGUGAGGCUUUGGGAUCUGAGCGGAAAGAGCGUUUCGCUGUUUCUGCCCGGAAAACUCAGUCGAACCUUAUCAUUUAGAGGAAGGAGAAGUCGUAACA